rnacentral:rRNA from 1 species
CAGCAGCCGCGGUAAUACAGAGGGUGCGAGCGUUAAUCGGAUUUACUGGGCGUAAAGCGUGCGUAGGCGGCUUUUUAAGUCGGAUGUGAAAUCCCUGAGCUUAACUUAGGAAUUGCAUUCGAUACUGGGAAGCUAGAGUAUGGGAGAGGAUGGUAGAAUUCCAGGUGUAGCGGUGAAAUGCGUAGAGAUCUGGAGGAAUACCGAUGGCGAAGGCAGCCAUCUGGCCUAAUACUGACGCUGAGGUACGAAAGCAUGGGGAGCAAACAGGAUUAGAUACCCGCGUAGUCCCUGUCUCUUAUAA